UAAACCAAUCGGCCUAAAAAUGGCAUGUUUGCAGUGUACUCUUACUUUAUGCAGCUGUAGUUCAACCGUUUUGGGCAAACAAUUAAUGCUUGCCUCUCUCUCUCUCUCUCUACCACGGUACAACCAAACAAGGUAGAAACCCCUCCUCUCUUCUACAUUUUCUGUAAAUCUAGGAUCAACCAAGGACAAAUAUUAUAAUGGGAUUUGUCUCAUUGCUAUUUUGAAUUGUUGACUCCUAUUGGCCUCCUGAGAUUAGGCGGGAUUCAAGAGGAAUCCCCGAAAAAUAUCUCAAUCCCACAUUGAUUUUCAACAACAAAAACUAGAGUUUUGGAGUUCUAUAUAAAAAAAAAAAAAAUCUACGCUUCUCAUUUGGAACAAGUCUCAUUCGAGCAAACACAUAUACACAAGCUGAUUUUUACAGCGAAAAACCUACGAAUUCCUGUUUGGUAAAGUGAUGGACAUAGAAUUGGACACUUCACUAUUCUUUUCAAAUUUUCGGGUUCAGUGUUAAAGUUUUUUUUUUUCUUUGUUCGUGGCUGCGUUUUGGUGCUGAGGAGCUCAAGGGAUCUCCAACUCCAACUCUCGACAAAGGGCUGCACUCAAAAAAGGCCAAGCCUAUUCCUUUUCCCUUUGCUGAUGCGCACUAAAACAUGUUGGGCCUAUUCAUCAUGUGCUUUUGUUGUUUAAAUCACAAUGGCCCAUAUUUGUUUCAAGUGAUAUGUAUAUGUCCUAUACGUAUAUUUGAAUAUGCAAUUGCACUUCAGUGGUAUAGUUAUAUGGAAUCUCGUGCUAAAUAAUUUGUAAGCAUAUAUGCCCUCUAACCUUGAUUUUCCUUUUCCCCCCGUGUGACACGGGCCAAUUGGGUCAAGAGACGCAUGACCAGCCAUUUCCAUUGGGCCUGAGGCCCAACACUGCAUUUAGAUCGAGUCAGGCCAGCCUAGAAGGCCCAACCAUGGGUGAAAAUGGUUUUAUAAUUGAACUGGUGGGCUUAGUAACCCCCCAGGCCGUUCUUUUUUCCUUAAAAUAAUUUUUGCAUGAUUGUAGAUUGUGUUGUAUACUCAUGUAAGAAAAUAUUGAAACCCCUUUAGUUGGAACU